rnacentral:rRNA from 1 species
UACGGAGGGAGCUAGCGUUGUUCGGAAUUACUGGGCGUAAAGCGCGCGUAGGCGGCUUUGUAAGUUAGAGGUGAAAGCCCGGGGCUCAACUCCGGAAUUGCCUUUAAGACUGCAUCGCUAGAAUCCAGGAGAGGUGAGUGGAAUUCCGAGUGUAGAGGUGAAAUUCGUAGAUAUUCGGAAGAACACCAGUGGCGAAGGCGGCUCGCUGGACUGGUAUUGACGCUGAGGUGCGAAAGCGUGGGGAGCAAACAGG